rnacentral:misc_RNA from 1 species
GGGUAAAAGAAUAUUACAGGCAUUACUGAGAGCUAUCGUUGAAGAUUUUUUCAAUUCGCUGAAUAUCGACAUAUGUUCACUUUAUGAGUGGAGACAUUUUAGAUAUCCUUUCGUCUUCCAGUAGCGCAUAUGGAUCUAUAUAUGGUGGGGGAGAUACAGGAAUAUCGCUGCCAUCAUGCACGAAACUUGACCCAAAGUAGAAGUACAUGGCUGCAAAGAUC